ACACCAAAAAUCAGUUCCUAACUAUAAAAUUAGUUCAUAUAACUAAAGGUCAAUCCAAGAAUAAUAGUGAAAAAGAACAAACCACUAACCAAAUGUGUAACUACAAGUCCUGUUAAGCUAUUAAGCCGGAGAAGCAGCCAUACAUUUACAAACCCCCUUUUUAAAAGACACAAUUACAAUUUGAGUUCUGGAUCGAAUACAUGAAACUUCAUAAACAAGAAUCAAUGUUCUUUUAUAAUACAAAAGGUUCAUUACCUUAACCAACCCAUAUGCAUACAUCAUAGACUAUUCCCAUUGAUGAGAUUGCCCUAACCUAGGUUGCCAAAAUAAUAAAAAUAAAAUGGAAAAUUC
rnacentral:lncRNA from 1 species